GAUUUUAUCUGGCAGGGGUGAUUCCAUGGUCAUGAAGGUGGUUUCCCCAGGACAAGGCUUGUCCAUUGCACUCCAGAUGGGCUGAUCCCUGUGAUUUCCCCAAAUUUGGGAAACCUGACUGCAUAAUUUGUUUUGUUGUUUUGUUGUUUUUUCUUGGGCAAUGAGGGU